UUAAUACUCCCUCCAUUCGGAAUUACUUGUCCAAGAUAUGAAUGUAUCUAGAUGUAUUUUAGUUGUAGAUACAUCCAUUUUUGUGAAAAGUAAUUCCGAACGGAGGGAGUAGAAU
rfam:Triticum aestivum genome assembly, contig: Triticum_aestivum_CS42_TGACv1_scaffold_578803_7BL